GAAGAAGUAGAGAUGGGGGCCAGGCAGGGAGGAAGGAAGGCUCUCCCGGCUGGCAGGAAGUAGAUUCAGGACUCUGCCUCAAGCCAGAAGACAAGCAGCUCCCGCUACCAGGAUCCUUCUUGGGAUGAGAAAUCCUUGCAACGAGGUCAGAACUCUGAAGUGUGUGGAGGACCAGAGCUGUCUGUGUCCUCAUCCCGGAGGCCGGAAAUGUGCUCCCCCAUUCUCUUCUGCUAUUUGAUGACCUCACAGUGACACAUGCUAGACGCCUCCCUUGACCUUCCCAGCUGAAGGUCAUGCCUCCUUCCUUUGAAUCUCAACAGCACUUCUGGCUUGUUUUCAUGACCUCACCCUGAGGUGAGGUUUCUGUGAUUUACUGUUUUGUACAAGUUCAUCUCCUUGCCAAGAGGAAGCACCCGUCACCUUUGAAUGGUCUGGGUGCCCUGGUAGAGCCAAAGUGACAGAAAGAUAAACAACAGACUUGGGAGGGACAGGACUGCACCUCUAAAGCAAUUAGUAGCUAAUCCGUACUUUUAGGGGAAGGGGGGUUCGGUGGAAUUUUUGUUCUAAUUGUUAUAGCUGUGUCUAGAUGUUCCCCCCAAAACCUCCUGUGGUCAUAGUGGGCUUUUUGGUGGUGGCUGGAUCUAGGGUGUGAUGCUGGGAUUGAUUCAGGGUGCGAUGCUAGGACUAAGGCUGCCCCUCCCUGAAUAUGAGUGCUGCCUAUCCCGAGGAUGGGUAGCCUGGAUAAGAUACAAGGGACAGAAAGAGGGUCGCUGUUUGUCGCUUGUCAUUUGCUGCUUGCUACUUCACUGCUGGCUGCUUUCUCCCCACCAUGGACUGUUUCUCCUCUGCGAUGCCCUCUGCCAUGCCACCCGCCUUGGAGCCAGACGACUACAGACUGAAACCUCCUCAAACUCUGAGGCAAAUAAACCUCUCCUUCUUAUUAACUUUGGGUGUCAGGUGUUUUGUCUCAGCAACGAGAAAAGUAACUAAGACACCAAUUAAAUCUAACCUCAGACCUGGAUAGAUAAUAUUUUGGGAUAGAUAUCCUCUCAUUUCAGAACAAUCUGUUGUUUCACAAGACUAUCCCUUUUCCAUUGAAUUACC
rnacentral:lncRNA from 1 species